AGGCCCAGGCCAUACAAGCCGUACACGAACGCCCGGUAGAGGCAGGCAAUUCUGCCAUAACUAUUGAAGCUUGAAGAGAACGUUUCGCCUUCGGCAUAGUUUCCAGUUUGCAUCUCCCAACUCUGACCCGACCCACAUGAACUCCACCUAAUCGCUGAUUCAAAUGGAUAUGGAUGUUGACGAUACCGGUAAAACCGGAGGCGAAAAAGAGAAGGAGAAGCCAAUUGUGUUGCUUUUGGUGGGCGCCCCAGGCAGCGGAAAGUCCACCUUCUGCGACUACGUCAUGCGUUCCUCAGCUCGUCCCUGGGUCCGCGUUUGUCAGGAUAUAAUUAAUAAUGGUAAGUCUGGAACGAAGGCCCAGUGCCUAAUGAGUGCAGCCAGUGCAUUGAAGGAGGGAAAAAGUGUAUUUAUUGACCGAUGCAACUUGCAGAGAGAACAACGUGCAGAUUUUAUGAAGCUUGGAGGUCCUCAAAUAGAGAUGCAUGCUGUGGUGCUUGAUCUUCCUGCCAAGCUUUGUAUAUCUCGAUCUGUUAAACGGAAAGGCCAUGAGGGGGAUUUGCAAGGUGGAAGAGCUGCAAUAGUUGUGAAUAGUAUGUUACAGAAGAAAGAAUUGCCUAAGUUGAGUGAAGGGUUUUCUCGAAUUAUGUUUUGCCAGAAUGAGAGUGAUGUUCAAGCUGCUCUUGAUACAUACAUUAAACUUGGUGCUUUGGAAGCAUUUCCCCAUGGUUGUUUUGGCCAAAAGAAUCCAGAUGCCAAAAUUCAACUCGGCAUAAUGAAGUUCUUAAAGAAAGUAGAUGUUCCUUCUAAUGCCAGACCAAAUGCAAGUAGUGCUCAGGAUUCUGCAACUCCUGAAGCUACCAAGGUAACUAAAACCAUCUGUGAAGGACGAGAAAAUGCUACUUCAUUAACAGAUACUGCAGAUGAGGAGGGGAAGCCAAGACCAGACCUGGUAGUGGACUCUGUCAGGCAGAAUGGUUCUUCUAGUGAUGUGCCCACUCUUGCAUUUCCAUCUAUUUCAACAUCAGAUUUCCAAUUCAACCAUGAAAAGGCCUCUGACAUAAUUAUUGAGAAAGUUGAGGAGUUUCUUUAUAAGCUUGGAAAUGCCCAGCUUGUAUUAGUGGACUUGAGCCAUGGCUCAAAGAUUUUAUCUUUGGUUAGGGAUAAAGCCGCACAAAAGAACAUUAACCCCAAAAAGUUCUUCACAUUUGUAGGAGAUAUAACUCAACUUCAUUCCAGAGGAGGUUUACACUGUAAUGUAAUCGCUAAUGCUGCCAAUUGGAGGCUGAAACCUGGAGGUGGAGGUGUGAAUGCUGCAAUCUUCAGUGCUGCAGGUCCUGCCUUGGAGGUUGCAACCAAGGAACAGACUAAAUGUCUAUCCCCUGGGAAUGCGGUGGUUGUUCCUCUCCCUUCAUCAUCUUCUUUGUAUAGUAGGGAAGGUGUGACCCAUGUUAUACACGUUCUUGGACCUAAUAUGAACCCAAAUAGACCUGAUUGUCUUGACAAUGACUAUGUUAAAGGCUGCAAAAUUCUUCGAAUGGCUUACACAUCACUUUUUGAAGGUUUCCUAUCGAUAGUUAGGUCUGAAGAAAAGUUACCAAAGGGAAGCAAUGAAAAAAUUGGGUCAAAGCCUUCAUUCUUGCUAGGUCACUCUGAAGAUGCCCCCAAAAAUUUUGGUUCAAAAAGUGAUCAGAAGAUUAAAAGAGAUGCUGUCGACCAACAUGAAAGAAGCAAGAAAUGCAAGGGAUCUCAAAAUGAAUUUGGAUCUGAUAUUAAUGCUUCCAGGCCUGGAAAGGUCAAUGCCAACAAUGGCAAUAUUGGUGGAAGUAAAACUAAGGUCUGGGGCCCCUGGGCUCAAGCUCUUUACAACAUUGCCAUGCAUCCUGAAAAGCAUAAGGAUGACCUGCUAGAAAUAACUGAUGAUAUUGUUGUACUAAAUGAUCUUUAUCCAAAGGCACAAAAACACCUUUUGGUGCUGGCACGAUGUGAUGGUCUUGAUAGCUUGGCAGAUGUCAGUAAAGAACAUCUUCAACUCUUAAAAAUGAUGCAUGCUGUGGGUUUGAAGUGGGCUGAGAAGUUCUUGCUUGAAAAUGCAUCAUUGGUCUUUCGCCUUGGAUAUCACUCGAAUUUGGUGCUGGCUGCAGUAACUUGGUUGUGGAAGUAAAUCUCUUUCCAGGACUUCAUAUGCUAUUGGACCCUUGACAUGGUUGGGAAGCAACAUAGAAGUAAAAUGGUUCUAGAUUGAGUGAAUUCAGAAAUUAGAGGCAGUAAAAGGAUCCAUCGAUGCGGCAGCUACACCUACAUGUUAUUAGCCAGGAUUUUGAUUCAAAACAUCUUAAGAAUAAGAGGCACUGGAAUACUUUCACUACUGCAUUUUUCCGUGAUUCAGUUGAUGUAAUUGAGGAAAUCGGUAGCCGAGGGGAAGCAGCAUUAGUGAAUAAAGAGAGCGUGUUGUCAAUGGAAUUGCGCUGCCAUCGAUGUAGAAGUGCACACCCCAACAUCCCCAAGCUGAAAUGGCAUAUUUUCAAUUGUCAAGCUCCCUUCCCUACCGACCUACUUCAAAAUGGUCGGCUUGUACUUGCUCCAAGUAACACCUAGAUCUCUAUAAGUCAUAUUUUGUUGAAAUCCAUGGUCCACAGUGUAUGGAUAGUGUAAGAUUUUUGCUUGCCA